GUAAAUUCUACUGGAGUGGGCAGAAAGAGGAAGGAGUAAUGGGUCUGAGCCAUCCCUUGAGGGAACCUGAUUUAACAUCUCUUGAAUACAGAGCCCUUAGGUGGGCAAAGGAUGAGAAAGUCACACAGGCAGCUCUCUGAUUUUUUGAAGUGCCACGUGAAAAUGAAACUUGCAAAAAGGAGGGCCACUGAACCCUCAACUUGUUACACCAAUACAUGCAGUGAUUUGACUCUGGACCUGGCUAAGAAUCCUUUGAGAACUUAGGAGGUACCAUGGGCCUUGAACAGACUGCCUCUCCAAC
ensembl:lncRNA